rnacentral:rRNA from 1 species
GAUGAACGCUGGCGGCGUGCCUAAUACAUGCAAGUCGAGCGAACAGAUGAGGAGCUUGCUCCUCUGACGUUAGCGGCGGACGGGUGAGUAACACGUGGAUAACCUACCUAUAAGACUGGGAUAACUUCGGGAAACCGGAGCUAAUACCGGAUAAUAUAUUGAACCGCAUGGUUCAAUAGUGAAAGACGGUUUUGCUGUCACUUAUAGAUGGAUCCGCGCCGCAUUAGCUAGUUGGUACGGUAACGGCUUACCAAGGCGACGAUGCGUAGCCGACCUGAGAGGGUGAUCGGCCACACUGGAACUGGGACACGGUCCAGACUCCUACGGGAGGCAGCAGUAGGGAAUCUUCCGCAAUGGGCGAAAGCCUGACGGAGCAACGCCGCGUGAGUGAUGAAGGUCUUCGGAUCGUAAAACUCUGUUAUUAGGGAAGAACAAAUGUGUAAGUAACUAUGCACGUCUUGACGGUACCUAAUCAGAAAGCCACGGCUAACUACGUG